rnacentral:rRNA from 1 species
UAGCAUAUCAAUAAGCGGAGGAAAAGAAACCAACCGGGAUUGCCUCAGUAACGGCGAGUGAAGCGGCAAGAGCUCAAAUUUGAAAUCUGGCCCCCUCGGGGUCCGAGUUGUAAUUUGCAGAGGAUGCUUCGGGUGCGGCCCCCGUCUAAGUGCCCUGGAACGGGCCGUCAUAGAGGGUGAGAAUCCCGUCUGGGACGGGGUGUCCGCGUCCGUGUGAAGCUCCUUCGACGAGUCGAGUUGUUUGGGAAUGCAGCUCUAAAUGGGUGGUAAAUUUCAUCUAAAGCUAAAUACUGGCCGGAGACCGAUAGCGCACAAGUAGAGUGAUCGAAAGAUGAAAAGCACUUUGAAAAGAGAGUUAAAAAGCACGUGAAAUUGUUGAAAGGGAAGCGCUUGCGACCAGACUCGCCCGCGGGGUUCAGCCGGCAUUCGUGCCGGUGUACUUCCCCGCGGGCGGGCCAGCGUCGGUUUGGGCGGCCGGUCAAAGGCCCCCGGAAUGUAGCACCCUUCGGGGUGCCUUAUAGCCGGGGGUGCAAUGCGGCCAGCCUGGACCGAGGAACGCGCUUCGGCACGGACGCUGGCAUAAUGGUCGUAAACGACCCGUCUUGAAACACGGACCAAGGAGUCUAACAUCUACGCGAGUGUUCGGGUGUCAAACCCGUGCGCGCAGUGAAAGCGAACGGAGGUGGGAGCCCCCCCGCGGGGCGCACCAUCGACCGAUCCUGAUGUCUUCGGAUGGAUUUGAGUAAGAGCGUAAAUGUGGGGACCCGAAAGAUGGUGAACUAUGCCUGAAUAGGGCGAAGCCAGAGGAAACUCUGGUGGAGGCUCGCAGCGGUUCUGACGUGCAAAUCGAUCGUCAAAUUUGGGUAUAGGGGCGAAAGACUAAUCGAACCAUCUGGUAGCUGGUUCCUGCGA